GAAUAUUUAAGAUUCUGUAAUGUUCUCUAGAUGAUGUUCUAAACUCCAGAUGUCAAUGAAUUCAGGCAAAAAGAUUUCAUACCCAGACAAAAGCAACUUAGUGGAGGAUCUAAAGUGAUUAUAAAAUGACCCGUGAAAUGCUGGGAUACAAGUCAGAAGAUUUUAUGCAUGAGAAAACUGAAGCAAACAGAGGACGUGAAACUUGCCUAAGAUUUCAGAGCUAUUAAGAAGUGGAUGCCAGAAUACAACUCUAGCUAGGAGGAGAUGACAUGGAGGUUGAGGACAUGGGGUGGUGAGAGAGGCUGAGGAACCCCACGGAGGCAAGGGCCCAGACGACGAGGCUGUGUAGAGAUGGAGAGCUGUCACAACUCAAUGAUACAACCCAUACUACAGCACUCAGCAAUGCAGUCUUUGACCAAAUGUAAUCCCUCCAUAAAAUGUGAGAUUUUAUUGGGGUUUUUGGAGGAGGCAUCCAGAGAACAGCACCCUUCUUUUCCACCUGGAUUCUUAAAAAGUAGUUGGGAAAUAAAUAAAAAGUAGCA